rnacentral:rRNA from 1 species
AUUGAACGCUGGCGGCGUGCUUAACACAUGCAAGUCGUGCGGUAACAGGCGUAGCAAUACGUGCUGACGAGCGGCGAACGGGUGCGUAAUACAUGGGAAUCUGCCUUUUAGUGGGGAAUAACCCGGCGAAAGCCGGGCUAAUGCCGCAUAAGAUCUUCGGAUGAAAGCGGGGGAGUCGUAAGACCUCGCGCUGAUAGAUGAGCCCAUGCCGGAUUAGCAGUUGGUGAGGUAACGGCUCACCAAGGCGACGAUCCGUAGCUGGUCUGAGAGGACGGCCAGCCACACUGGGACUGAGACACGGCCCAGACUCCUACGGGAGGCAGCAGUGGGGAAUAUUGGACAAUGGGGAACCCUGAUCCAGCGACGCCGCGUGUGUGAAGAAGGCC